GCGGCCAGCGGCACCUCCGAGAACGCGCAGUCGCGCGCCGAUCCUGUCGGGUGGGAGGUGUGAUCAGCUGCGUGCACACGAGGAAGAGCGAGAUGUACGUCCUGCAGAGGUCUAUAUUAUCGGCCAGCAGCAGAAAUUGCGGGGGAUCAUGGACGCGGACGCUGCCACCUUCGCACGUCGCCGUAAGGGACGUUCCACAGAGGGACAUCCACGAGGUUUCGGGAGACGUGGUACCGAUAAAUAUGGUGAAGGGUAUCGGUCACCUCAGGGAUCCCCGGCUGAACAAGGGCUUGGCGUUCACCCUGAGAGAAAGAAUAGCCCUCGGCAUACACGGGCUGCAGCCGCCUCGAUUUAAGACGCAGGAGGAACAGCUAGCACUGUGCAAAGCUUCAGUAAUGAAAUACUCGGAGGACUUGAAUCGAUAUUUGUAUCUUGUGGAGCUACAGGAGAGGAACGAAAGAUUAUUCUUUCGCUUGUUGAGCGAAAACAUCGAGCAGAUGAUGCCGAUUGUCUAUACUCCUACCGUGGGUUUGGCCUGCCAAAAAUUUGGCGUGAUAUACCGUAGACCUCGCGGACUUUUCAUUACUAUAUACGAUAAGGGCCAUAUUUACGAGAUCUUGAAUAAUUGGCCGGAACAGGCGGUGCGGGCCAUCUGCGUGACGGAUGGCGAGCGCAUUUUAGGCCUCGGCGACCUCGGGGCGUGCGGCAUGGGUAUCCCAGUUGGAAAACUGGCGCUUUACACGGCUCUAGCUGGUAUCAAGCCGCAUCAGUGUCUCCCGAUCACUAUCGAUGUCGGCACUAACAACGAGCAGCUGAGAAACGAUCCUCACUACAUCGGUCUUAACAAGCCUAGGAGCCAAGGUGCCGAGUAUGACGUAUUAAUCGACGAGUUUAUGGCUGCCUGCGUGCAAAAGUACGGACAAAACGUUCUUAUUCAAUUCGAAGACUUCGGAAACCACAAUGCCUUCCGUUUCUUAGACAAGUACAGAAAUAAGUAUUGCACGUUCAACGACGACAUACAAGGUACGGCCGCGGUUGCGGUGGCUGGAAUCUUGGCGUCGCAAAGAAUAACUAAGAAAAGAAUGGGAGACAAUAAGUUCGUCUUCCUUGGCGCCGGAGAGGCAGCUAUUGGAAUAGCUGAUCUGUGUGUCAAAGCGAUGGAGGCUGACGGUUGCACGCAGCAGCAGGCGCGCGAUAAUAUUUGGAUGAUGGACAUUGACGGGUUGCUCGUAAAGAAUCGGCCCGAAGGUAAUUUGGAGGGCCACAAGGUCUGGUACGCGAAGGAUCACAAAGUGAUGAAGACGUUGAUCGAAGUCGUGAAAGAGAUCAAGCCCUCCGUCUUGAUAGGCGCUUCGGCGGCGACUGGGGCGUUUACUCCUGAGGUCUUAAAGGAAAUGGCAAAAAAUAACGAGAGGCCGUUGAUUUUCGCCUUGAGUAAUCCAACCAGCAAAGCUGAAUGUACGGCGCAGCAAGCGUAUGAUCAUACCGACGGUAGAUGCGUAUUCUCCUCGGGUUCGCCAUUCGGUGAAGUAAAAUACAAUGGAAAGACGUACAAGCCUGGACAGGGUAAUAACGCGUACAUCUUCCCCGGUAUUGCUCUAGGCGUAAUCGCGACCGGGGUGCAUCACAUCACCGAAGAUUUGUUCCUGAUCUCGGCACAGUGCGUCGCCGAUCACGUGAAAAAUGAGGAUCUCGAAAGGGGUAGUCUCUACCCGCCGUUAAAUAACAUUCGCGAGUGUUCUAUCGACAUCGCAAUUAAAAUAGCGGAAUACGCUUACGCGAAAGGUGGUUUGGCAAGCGAGUAUCCGGAGCCGAAAGAUAAGAGGCAAUUUAUCAUGAGUAAGAUGUACGAUUGCAACUAUGACAGUCCACUGCCAAAUCUGUACGAAUGGCCGGGCGAUUAUGCCAAGCCACGUAUCUUGCCAGAAAACCGUAGGACCGAAGAAUUAGAUAGAUAAAUGUCAAAAUUAGUUGUAAUAAGUAGUGUCGCAGCAAUUCUAUAGACAGCAUGAACGAAGACACAAUAGAAAUCCGUCACAAUUUAAAACACCUGUAGCGGAUUUCAUCGGCCGGGAUAGUUGCAGGCUAUCAUUACUAUCUUUAAUGAUAAAAAUAUCGAUGUCUCUUCAGCUUGUAAUCAAUGUCACUCACGGCAUAUGCAAACGGCAACACAACUCAUAAAUAGUUUUAAUCAUUAUGCCGCGUUGGCGAGUCUAACUAUGAGACGACCACUUUGACACAAAUUUCUUAAUUUAAUUUCUCGUAGUCAGAAAAUAAACUUAUUGUGUGGAUCACACAAGUAUUGUACUCUGUAGUAUUAAGAAACUACAAUUUAUCGAUUUUUUUCUUGCGUUUAAAUGUGCUUCGAAUAAAACACGUACUUAUUUAUGUAUUUAACGUAACGACGUAGCGAUGUUUGACACAACGCAGAAUCAUAUUUGAAUAGUAUACAACUAUUCACUAACUUCGACAUGGAUUGUCAAGUAUUCCAGUACAUUACAGAUUAUUUAUUUUUUUAAGAUAUUCACCGGAAAUAACCGCACAUGUUAUUUCUAAUAGCGCAAUACCAUUCUGUAUUACGUGGCAUGCACAGCGCGUGAUACAUUUACUUUGUAUUUCAAGGCCGUUAGAGUUAACGAAUAGCUGCUUUUUGUUACAAUUAUUUGAUUCGUGAUCCUUCGUAAAAAAACUAAUCCCCCCCCCCCUCUCUCUACCUCCUUCACGAGUACUUUUUAAAUAACAUAUAGCUAAUAAAAAUUUGCGAACAACAUGACAAAAUAAUUUUAAUCUUAGUUACUUCAUUGACGAUGGAGUGAUCAUACAAUCUGCAAUAAACCGUGGAAAAGUAUUGGAAAGAGCAACCGUUCUAUCGACACAAUAUUUAUAACAUGUUUGUACUUUGUGAUUCUUGUGUGCAUUCUCGUAUCCUGUAAAAGGAUGUUACGGAUCUAAUAAAUCUCUGACAAAAGGCA